UAGAGUUUGAUCCUGGCUCAGAUUGAACGCUAGCGAGAUGCCUUACACAUGCAAGUCGAACGGCAGCACGGACUUCGGUCUGGUGGCGAGUGGCGAACGGGUGAGUAAUGUAUCGGAACGUGCCCAGUAGCUGGGGAUAACUACGCGAAAGCGUAGCUAAUACCGCAUACGCCCUACGGGGGAAAGCAGGGGAUCGUAAGACCUUGCACUAUUGGAGCGGCCGAUAUCGGAUUAGCUAGUUGGUGGGGUAACGGCUCACCAAGGCGACGAUCCGUAGCUGGUUUGAGAGGACGACCAGCCACACUGGGACUGAGACACGGCCCAGACUCCUACGGGAGGCAGCAGUGGGGAAUUUUGGACAAUGGGGGAAACCCUGAUCCAGCCAUCCCGCGUGUGCGAUGAAGGCCUUCGGGUUGUAAAGCACUUUUGGCAGGAAAGAAACGUCAUGGGUUAAUACCCCGUGAAACUGACGGUACCUGCAGAAUAAGCACCGGCUAACUACGUGCCAGCAGCCGCGGA
rnacentral:rRNA from 1 species